UUCGAAAUUUUCCUCGCCUUCUCCAGAAGGCCAAAAAAUUAUGAUUGUUUCCUUCACUCUUGCGCCCAAAACACUAGAGUUAGAGAGAAAUAGACUUUGAUUUUUCUGUCUUUUACACUUUUUUCCAAAUUUCUGUUUUGUCUCUCUCGAACUUUGUGAUAUAUCCUUAACUUUCUGUUUCCUGAUUCUCCUCCAACGUCACUUUUCAUCCCCAUAUUGACUGCCUUAGUAUACUUCAAGCUGUUGAUUUCUUGCUUCUCACCUGUCCUUGAAAUGGAACGGUUAAUGGAAGCUAGCCGAGCAGGAAAUAUAGAUGGUUUGUAUGUAGCGCUUCGAGAGAACGCUAAUGUUUUGGCUCAAAUUGAUGGUGCGCCAUUUGUGGAUACUCCAUUACACGCAGCUGCCUCUGCAGGACAUAUCCAAUAUGCCAUGGAGAUUAUGAGACUAAUGCCAUUAUUCGCUACAAAAUCAAACCAAGAUGGGUUCUGCCCCAUCCACCUUGCAUUGCGUAGUGGGUGUAUUCAGUUGGUGAUUUGGCUGGUAGAAAGGGACAGCGACCUUGUCCGUCUCAAAGGAAGGGAAGGCAUAACUCCUUUGCAUUAUGUAGCUGAGCAAGGAAAUCUUGAUCUCUUGGCCAGUUUUUUAUUAGUUUGUCCAAAAUCUAUCGAAGAUGUGACGAAUCGGAACGAGACUGCUCUGCAUAUUGCUCUCAAAAACGAUAAGUUUGAAGCUUUUGAUUUCCUGGUUGGUAGGCUUCAUUGCCACUGGGUCUGCCAUGAAGAGGCCCGUUACUGGGAGAAAAGGAUCCUCAACAGGAAGGAUGAGACAGGCAACACC
rnacentral:misc_RNA from 1 species